CGCGACUGCGGAACAGGCUUCCAGCUGGCGGGGACCUGGAGGGCGACAGGAUCUGAGACAUGUCCUCGGAUUGGACGCCGCGGCUUCAGUAGAUGUAACUCCCUUUCCGAUUGGUUGGAUUCAGAAUCUCUCCAUUCUGAGCUCUUGAACCCACGCAGCUUAGUUGUAGGAGAAGGAUUGGAAGCUAACACUGAACAUGCCUGUCUAAUCUGCCAGGCUCUGAGGUUUCACACAUUCUUUUGUCAUUUAAACUUUCCAUCAACACUUUGAAGAAGGUGUUAUUUCCAUUUUCACAAAUAAGGAAACCACCCCUCAGAAGAGCACAAACUGCAUUUGUAAUGGGAAGACAUCUUAAUAUAAAAUACGCAGACGUCUUUGAUGUCAUGGCAGGAACCUAAGAAGCUCAGAAUGACAGCUGUGUACUUACUUCAAGGUAAGUGUGUAUUUCUUAUGGAGUAACUUCAGGGCUGUGGCCUCGGGCAGUACUGUUUAGAAAAUGUGAAUCCAAAGUUUGAAAGGUCAGCUUACUCAGAGGGUUAGUGCCCAAGCCAGUGGAAUUAUUCCUCAGGUUGCAUUUUCAAAGUGCACAGUCCUUUCUCCAUCUUUGUGGGAUGAUUGAGUCACAGUUUCCAUGACUGCUCUGUAUUUGUUAUACAGAUAAAGGGACCCACGGAUGUGGAGGGCAGGCAACUAUACUCCAUUUACAUAAUGGACUUGAGUAGACGUCCUGGGAGUUUGGUAGUCACAGGGGGUCCCAGAACCAAUCUGUCUCGGACACUGAGGGGCAGCUGUCUGGAGAAUUAUACAGUAUACAGAGUGCAGAUUCAAAAGAUCACUGAGAUAGGUUGCUUUGGGUUUUAUCAUACAGAACUAAACUUCCUGAAUGUCUUUGGAGGGGAAAAAAAAAAAUCCCCAAACUGUAAAACCCCGAAACCCCUCAAACCACCAAGUAAAAUCUCCAAAAAUGGAGAAAUGUCCUCGAGGAAGGUGGGGUGAGGAGGCUCAUUGGAGUCAAGUUGUUCCUUGGCAGAGAGAACGCGCAUUCCCUUCAGGCAGAAGGAUGGAGAUGAAAAAUACUCAGUCCAGGAACACUCCAGUAAGUUUCUAAGUCAACUUGGGGGUCCCUCAAGCUCCUUCAGCGUUCAUGCCGGGUGCCUUUAUCCUGGUCUGCAAAAGCCUGGCUAAGAGGAUGCCCACCUGUCCUUUUCUGUCUUUGAAAUUGUCCCUCUGGGCUCCUCAGUCUUUGGGCAUCUGUGAGCUCAUCUGCUUUGAGUUGCUUUCUUCCUGGACAGGGAGUUUUAGAGAAGUGACAGUGAGCUACUCACGGGUCAGACAAGGAGGCUUUGGUCAUGUGGGAGACAGCAGAGUGAGGAGCGGCGGGAGAAAACUAGACCCCCUCUGGGAGUUCCCUUGUGGCACAGUGGGUUAAAGAUCCAGCGUUGUCACUGCAACAGCUUGGGUUGCUAUUGUGAUGCAAGUUCAAGCUCCAGUCCGGGAACUUGCACAUGCCACAGGCUCGGCCAAAAACCCAAACCAAAACUAGACCCACUCAGAAUAAAGAGGAAAGGCAAGGGGCCAGCUGGGGGCGUCCCUGAGGGUGGGGCCCUGGGGCUGAGUGAGGACGACAGUGCCAGGGCAGGGAGAGGGUGAAGCAGGGGUUGCCCUGCCUGAGGGCUUGAGGGCACAUAGAUCAUCCUAUUUUUAAA